CAUGGAUUUCGGGUGCAAUCCCCGGAUGGCUCUUCCGGCCGCCUAUCCGCCGGAUCAUC
rnacentral:ncRNA from 18 species